GCAAUACAAAAUUGGCUGGGUUCUUGGACGCCGAGGUCGCCCAAACCAGAGUUUGCAGUAAUCAACAUAUAGGUAUCAUUAUCCAUGUUCUUCACCCUCCUCUCCAUCAGCCCAAUGACCAACAGGCUCCUUCCCUAAUCUUGUUUGGUCUCCAAAUCCUCGGUAGUUGUGGAAUUAGAAUUAGGGUGGGUGAAGUAUUUACAUACAAAGCAAGUAUAAGAGCCUCCGAGCCUCACCGCUACAAAUCCAAAUUGAACCCAACAACCGAUUUCAGAAGAUUCAGUCAUGUCUAGUGAAGAAUGGUUUUUCCAUCACAGGGUGGUGCAAACAAGCCUAAGGGAACCGUACCCCGGAGGAGGAAGCGGCGGCGAGGUCAAGAUUCUGUUCAAAUUGUUGUUCUACAGGGUAAACGCAAGCCAAUCCCAGGGGGGUGAUCCAGUUUAUGACAGAAGUGAGUCAACCAUCCCAGUAUCUCAAGCAGAAUUUUGGGUCAAUUUUGGUGAGAUCAAGUCGAAUAAUAGAGUCGAGGAGUAUAGAGCGAUGAUGUCGGAUUCUCUUUCAAACUUGGGUGUCCCGCAAGAUGAGCAUCCACAUAUUAUUGAAAACAUAUUCCAGGUGGUUGACGCGGCCGUCUUCCCCGACUACCCUAUUGUUGUUGGCGUAUGGGACACCACUUUUCGCAGCAGGAGUAGUGAUGAAGAUGAAGUAUGUAGACCUAAUUUCGUUCCGGCAGCGGAAUUGUCCAUCCAGGGUUUGCAGCAAGUGACACUUGAUGGCUCGGAAUUUAAGGCACGUUUACUUACUUGGAAUGGAAUGUAAUGGAAUGAUUACGGAGUAAAAAUACCCCUGUGUUUACUAACACAUAAAGAAAUCGGAAUGAUUCUAGGUAAAAGAAUUCCUGUGUUUACUAACACAUGAAGGAAUGAGAAUUGGUGUAGGUCCCACCUAUUUAUCAGGAAUCGAUUCCUGAAUACUCAGGAAUUCGAUUACGAAGGGGGGAGAUGAGUUUAGGAAUCAUUCCUCCGGAAUCAAUACCGAUUCCUUUCUUCUCUCAUUCCACUUGUCUCCGAUUCAUGAUUAUUUUCCAUUCCAAAUAAGUAAACGUGCCAUUAGGGAAUUUGAAGCAACAAAAUCAUCAUGUGCAAUUUGUUUGGAGGAUUUUGCGGCACAAGGUAUUGAUCGACUGGUGGUGGUUACUAGCUUGCCCUGCUCACACUAUUAUCAUGGAGAUUGCAUUGUCAAGUGGCUGGAGAUUAGUCAUCUAUGUCCCAUAUGCCGAUACCCAAUGCCAAUAGAGCAAGUGGGCGAGCCAUCAUCAAAUCCCUUGCCCCAAUCAAGGCAAUAGCGUAUAUUAUAUAUAUAUAUGCUGCUACUUGCCAAGAGGUAUUAUUCAAUGCCAGAUUUGAACAAGGUGUAAACAUAAAAAAGAUAGAACAAGAGAUCCUGGGUGUUAAUUCUGAGGAUCCAGUUGCCAUGGUCAGUAUCCAGAGAGUAGCCUCUUCGUUCUUCAAUGCGGUUGAACAGAAGGAUUAAAAACCUCCCGAUGAAAAUGAACAGGAGUUAAACAAGUUAAUUGCUGAGAUUGGGGCUGCAUGAACAUGGGAGGUGAGGAAGCAGCAGAGAAAGAAGAGUUUAUCCAAUUAAGGUAUUGGAAAAGAGAACAAUUUGGGGGAACAUGAGAAGAUCUGAAGCACUUUCCGAUGAUGAAAUCAAAAGGAUGAGUUGGUGGGUUCUAAAAAUGUUGCAGAUGCUAGUGUUUCUGACAGUGAUGCUGAUGAUUCUUGUGGAAGCAUAAGAAAUUCAAGGCAUCUAGAUUAGAAAUGCUGAAGAUACUAAUAGUUAGAUAAUGGCGGACAAAUUAAAGGUAGUAUGUUCGGUGAUCUUAAAACUGCAAUAUCGCUCCUAAUGAUGAGGAAGAACAUGAAAUAACUCCAUCGAGAGCUUAUUCACUAUGAUUACGGAGUAAUAUACUUUCCUCGCCUCUGUGUGACUCCGCCAGUGGUGAUAACGAAGAGGACUGGAAGUUCAUCUUGUGAGAGGAGAGUAAAUAUUUCGAGGAAGAUCAUGACUAGUUCGGGGCAACGAAUAAUGCAAAUGGCAAGCAUUAUAGUACAUACUAGUAAAUCAGCCCGCGCUUUGCUGCGGGUUUUUUGUGACUAAUCAGAAAGUGGUAAUUUGUUUUCAGGCAUUCUUCCAAUAAGUCGUAAUUUGGUAUUGAAAUUUUAGCC